rnacentral:rRNA from 1 species
AUUGAACGCUGGCGGCAUGCCUUACACAUGCAAGUCGAACGGUAACGCGGGGCAACCUGGCGACGAGUGGCGAACGGGUGAGUAAUGUAUCGGAACGUGCCCAGUAGUGGGGGAUAGCCCGGCGAAAGCCGGAUUAAUACCGCAUGAGACCUGAGGGUGAAAGCGGGGGAUCGCAAGACCUCGCGCUAUUGGAGCGGCCGAUAUCAGAUUAGGUAGUUGGUGGGGUAAGAGCCUACCAAGCCGACGAUCUGUAGCUGGUCUGAGAGGACGACCAGCCACACUGGGACUGAGACACGGCCCAGACUCCUACGGGAGGCAGCAGUGGGGAAUUUUGGACAAUGGGCGCAAGCCUGAUCCAGCCAUGCCGCGUGCGGGAAGAAGGCCUUCGGGUUGUAAACCGCUUUUGUCAGGGAAGAAAUCUUCUGGGUUAAUACCUCGGGAGGAUGACGGUACCUGAAGAAUAAGCACCGGCUAACUACGUGCCAGCAGCCGCAGUAAUAC